rnacentral:hammerhead_ribozyme from 1 species
AUCCAGCUGACAAGUCCCAGAUAGGACAAAACGCGUGUACUGGAU